AUGAACGCUGGCGGCGUGCCUAAUACAUGCAAGUCGAGCGAACAGACGAGGAGCUUGCUCCUCUGACGUUAGCGGCGGACGGGUGAGUAACACGUGGAUAACCUACCUAUAAGACUGGGAUAACUUCGGGAAACCGGAGCUAAUACCGGAUAAUAUAUUGAACCGCAUGGUUCAAUAGUGAAAGACGGUUUUGCUGUCACUUAUAGAUGGAUCCGCGCCGCAUUAGCUAGUUGGUAAGGUAACGGCUUACCAAGGCAACGAUGCGUAGCCGACCUGAGAGGGUGAUCGGCCACACUGGAACUGAGACACGGUCCAGACUCCUACGGGAGGCAGCAGUAGGGAAUCUUCCGCAAAGGGCGAAAGCCUGACGGAGCAACGCCGCGUGAGUGAUGAAGGUCUUCGGAUCGUAAAACUCUGUUAUUAGGGAAGAACAAAUGUGUAAGUAACUAUGCACGUCUUGACGGUACCUAAUCAGAAGGCCACGGCUAACUACGUG
rnacentral:rRNA from 1 species